CGUCGCUUCACGCUCGAUCCGUUUUGGCCUGUGCUUCUUCGGUGCAACUUCAUCGUGUGUCCAAGACCUACAUAGAUGCCCAGCGAGCAAGAAGUCGUCUAGAAUACGUCUGAAAGACGUAGUUGUUAAGACAUCCAGAAGACGUCCUCACACGAGCCAGAAUGAAAGUUUUUUAUACGUCUUUUCUGGACAUUGUUUAGACGUCAAUUAAAGACGUGCUACAGACGUAUUUGUUAAGACAUC